UUUUAGAUAUACCAUGAAAUAUAACGGCAGACGACAUCUGGGUAAACGCGCGCAAUUGAUCUAUUUUAUUUCUGCUUUUUAUUCUUUGUUUUGUAUUGCAGCUUUUUUGUACUGGAAUGUUGGAAUACUUAGAGAAUAAAGACGCAGACGGAUAUGGAGAUGAAGACGACCAAAUAAAACGUGCGUUUCUCAUUAUCAUGAACAGGUAUUAUAUUGCUACAUAUAGUAUCCUAUUUUGUAUGCAUUUCUUUUCAGAUUUUUCCAAAAUAGAGACUGAUGAUGACUACAAGUACGUGUGAAGGUAUCAUAUUGUAGAUAUCACAAUGGUAUAAUGGAUAGUGCAGCUAAGCAUGCGCACAUAUGUCAUGUUGUGGAUUUCACAAUGGUUUAGUGGAGAAUGCAGAUAUGGUGGCUGAUGUUGACUAUACAAGCACGUGCAAGGAUGUCAUGUUGUAGAUUUCACAAUGGUUUAGUGGACGGUGCAGCUUGGUCCUUUUUCUCGGGCAGAUUGAGAUUUGGUGAAAGUAACACUCGAAGAAUUGGAAGUGAAACUCAAAACUAUUCGAUGACAAACGCAGACUAUCCGACGAGAAGCAGUUUCCUGUACCAUGCACUUGCCGUAGGAUUGCCUUGCUGGUACCAUAAAGGGGCCGGUAUCCAGAGAUACACUGCUAACAUAUCGAUGACGGCCGCCAGAGACGCGCUGGUACCCAAGCAAUGCCGGCCAUCAGAGAUGUGCUGGACCCCUUAAGUCAACAUAAUCAUCUGUUUUCAACAAGGUUUAAAAAAUGCAAGAAGACACUGUUUGGCAUUAUUGAAAGGCAUAGAAAAAGAAUCGAUUGCAUAAAACAAACAUCAUACCGUCCUGUGUUUGUUGUUUUCGACAGCUGACAGUACGAUGCAUGCCAGGUUGAUUUCAAACACGAGUGAGGAAUAUCUGUUGAAGGACAAAAUAUGAUUAAUCCACACGGACCUGGCACAAGCAUACAAGCAAGCAAGACACCACCACAGCUGCCCUGACACAAGCAUAGUUAAACAAACUAGACAUUAGCUGACAUGUAUAAAGUUAUACCCCGACGUACAAAGUAUAUUGGGUUAUAUUGGAGUCACGCAUGUCCGCCGGUCCGUUCGCCCGU
rnacentral:lncRNA from 1 species